rnacentral:rRNA from 1 species
UACGUAGGGGGCAAGCGUUAUCCGGAUUUACUGGGUGUAAAGGGAGCGUAGACGGUAAUGCAAGUCUGGAGUGAAAUGCAGGGGCUCAACCCCUGAACUGCUUUGGAAACUGUAUGACUGGAGUGCAGGAGGGGUAAGUGGAAUUCCUAGUGUAGCGGUGAAAUGCGUAGAUAUUAGGAGGAACACCAGUGGCGAAGGCGGCUUACUGGACUGUAACUGACGUUGAGGCUCGAAAGCGUGGGGAGCAAACAGG